rnacentral:rRNA from 1 species
GGGUUGUGAGGUUAAGCGACUAAGCGUACACGGUGGAUGCCCUGGCAGUCAGAGGCGAUGAAGGACGUGCUAAUCUGCGAUAAGCGUCGGUAAGGUGAUAUGAACCGUUAUAACCGGCGAUUUCCGAAUGGGGAAACCCAGUGUGAUUCGUCACACUAUCAUUAACUGAAUCCAUAGGUUAAUGAGGCGAACCGGGGGAACUGAAACAUCUAAGUACCCCGAGGAAAAGAAAUCAACCGAGAUUCCCCCAGUAGCGGCGAGCGAACGGGGAGCAGCCCAGAGCCUGAAUCAGUGUGUGUGUUAGUGGAAGCGUCUGGAAAGGCGCGCGAUACAGGGUGACAGCCCCGUACACAAAAAUGCACAUGCUGUGAGCUCGAUGAGUAGGGCGGGACACGUGGUAUCCUGUCUGAAUAUGGGGGGACCAUCCUCCAAGGCUAAAUACUCCUGACUGACCGAUAGUGAACCAGUACCGUGAGGGAAAGGCGAAAAGAACCCCGGCGAGGGGAGUGAAAAAGAACCUGAAACCGUGUACGUACAAGCAGUGGGAGCACGCUUAGGCGUGUGACUGCGUACCUUUUGUAUAAUGGGUCAGCGACUUAUAUUCUGUAGCAAGGUUAACCGAAUAGGGGAGCCGAAGGGAAACCGAGUCUUAACUGGGCGUUAAGUUGCAGGGUAUAGACCCGAAACCCGGUGAUCUAGCCAUGGGCAGGUUGAAGGUUGGGUAACACUAACUGGAGGACCGAACCGACUAAUGUUGAAAAAUUAGCGGAUGACUUGUGGCUGGGGGUGAAAGGCCAAUCAAACCGGGAGAUAGCUGGUUCUCCCCGAAAGCUAUUUAGGUAGCGCCUCGUGAAUUCAUCUCCGGGGGUAGAGCACUGUUUCGGCAAGGGGGUCAUCCCGACUUACCAACCCGAUGCAAACUGCGAAUACCGGAGAAUGUUAUCACGGGAGACACACGGCGGGUGCUAACGUCCGUCGUGAAGAGGGAAACAACCCAGACCGCCAGCUAAGGUCCCAAAGUCAUGGUUAAGUGGGAAACGAUGUGGGAAGGCCCAGACAGCCAGGAUGUUGGCUUAGAAGCAGCCAUCAUUUAAAGAAAGCGUAAUAGCUCACUGGUCGAGUCGGCCUGCGCGGAAGAUGUAACGGGGCUAAACCAUGCACCGAAGCUGCGGCAGCGACGCUUAUGCGUUGUUGGGUAGGGGAGCGUUCUGUAAGCCUGUGAAGGUGUGCUGUGAGGCAUGCUGGAGGUAUCAGAAGUGCGAAUGCUGACAUAAGUAACGAUAAAGCGGGUGAAAAGCCCGCUCGCCGGAAGACCAAGGGUUCCUGUCCAACGUUAAUCGGGGCAGGGUGAGUCGACCCCUAAGGCGAGGCCGAAAGGCGUAGUCGAUGGGAAACAGGUUAAUAUUCCUGUACUUGGUGUUACUGCGAAGGGGGGACGGAGAAGGCUAUGUUGGCCGGGCGACGGUUGUCCCGGUUUAAGCGUGUAGGCUGGUUUUCCAGGCAAAUCCGGAAAAUCAAGGCUGAGGCGUGAUGACGAGGCACUACGGUGCUGAAGCAACAAAUGCCCUGCUUCCAGGAAAAGCCUCUAAGCAUCAGGUAACAUCAAAUCGUACCCCAAACCGACACAGGUGGUCAGGUAGAGAAUACCAAGGCGCUUGAGAGAACUCGGGUGAAGGAACUAGGCAAAAUGGUGCCGUAACUUCGGGAGAAGGCACGCUGAUAUGUAGGUGAAGUCCCUUGCGGAUGGAGCUGAAAUCAGUCGAAGAUACCAGCUGGCUGCAACUGUUUAUUAAAAACACAGCACUGUGCAAACACGAAAGUGGACGUAUACGGUGUGACGCCUGCCCGGUGCCGGAAGGUUAAUUGAUGGGGUCAGCGCAAGCGAAGCUCUUGAUCGAAGCCCCGGUAAACGGCGGCCGUAACUAUAACGGUCCUAAGGUAGCGAAAUUCCUUGUCGGGUAAGUUCCGACCUGCACGAAUGGCGUAAUGAUGGCCAGGCUGUCUCCACCCGAGACUCAGUGAAAUUGAACUCGCUGUGAAGAUGCAGUGUACCCGCGGCAAGACGGAAAGACCCCGUGAACCUUUACUAUAGCUUGACACUGAACAUUGAGCCUUGAUGUGUAGGAUAGGUGGGAGGCUUGGAAGUGUGGACGCCAGUCUGCAUGGAGCCGACCUUGAAAUACCACCCUUUAAUGUUUGAUGUUCUAACGUUGACCCGUAAUCCGGGUUGCGGACAGUGUCUGGUGGGUAGUUUGACUGGGGCGGUCUCCUCCUAAAGAGUAACGGAGGAGCACGAAGGUUGGCUAAUCCUGGUCGGACAUCAGGAGGUUAGUGCAAUGGCAUAAGCCAGCUUGACUGCGAGCGUGACGGCGCGAGCAGGUGCGAAAGCAGGUCAUAGUGAUCCGGUGGUUCUGAAUGGAAGGGCCAUCGCUCAACGGAUAAAAGGUACUCCGGGGAUAACAGGCUGAUACCGCCCAAGAGUUCAUAUCGACGGCGGUGUUUGGCACCUCGAUGUCGGCUCAUCACAUCCUGGGGCUGAAGUAGGUCCCAAGGGUAUGGCUGUUCGCCAUUUAAAGUGGUACGCGAGCUGGGUUUAGAACGUCGUGAGACAGUUCGGUCCCUAUCUGCCGUGGGCGCUGGAGAACUGAGGGGGGCUGCUCCUAGUACGAGAGGACCGGAGUGGACGCAUCACUGGUGUUCGGGUUGUCAUGCCAAUGGCACUGCCCGGUAGCUAAAUGCGGAAGAGAUAAGUGCUGAAAGCAUCUAAGCACGAAACUUGCCCCGAGAUGAGUUCUCCCUGACUCCUUGAGAGUCCUGAAGGAACGUUGAAGACGACGACGUUGAUAGGCCGGGUGUGUAAGCGCAGCGAUGCGUUGAGCUAACCGGUACUAAUGAACCGUGAGGCUUAACCUUACAACGCCGAAG